CCCAUGCUAUCCCACCCUAAGUUUUCCUCAUAACUCCUCAUGAAUUGCAGAAGGCUUCACAGGACAUUGUUCUGUCCAUCCACAGUCACAAUGAAAAGCAGAUCUUGAACUGACCAGAAUUGCCUGGACAACAGCAAAGUAGGGGCACAGACUUCCUCUGUGCUCACAGAGAUUAUUCAAAUACAUAGUGCAUGGUCACAGACAUGACCUUUCCUGGUCUCUGAGGACUGAUCUCAGCUGCUGAUAUGUCUGUUUGACAGGAAAGUCAGCUGCCAACAAGCAAACAAACAAACUGGACCUGUGUGGGUGCCAGGCUGCACAGCAGUUACAGAAAAUGUGCAAGAAAUCAUCUUUCAGCAUCUGUGUUCUGCCCAGACAAGACAGGUUGGACAGACUAAUCAGACAGUGGCAAAUUCCUGAGGUGCCGACAAAACCAAAUCUUCAGAAAGAUUCUGGGUGUCAAACCUCAGAAGUAAUAACUCAGAAGAUGAGUUAUUACUAAAAAUAACACAGUGCUUGUACAUCAUUGAAGUAACAAAAUGGUAUGUUACACCCACCUGGCUCAUUCAGCACAUGAAGUUUGGGUACUAACGGCAAGGAGAAAUCAUAGCUGGAACUUUGGAAAAAGACAAUGGGAGGAAAAACCUCAAUGAAUCAAUGCAAAAUGUUCCAAUAGCUUGAAUUGUCUGAGAUAGUCACCUUUGGCUGCCUUUCUGGCUGAUGGAGAGAAACAGAGAUUUCAAAGGGUUAUUCAUCUUCUCUUAAACAACAAAAAUCUCCUGUGAACAUAAUCCAAAAAAUCUCUCACAUAUUUUAAGGAGCAUGUAUGGCAACCAACUCUGCAGUAUAUGCUCUGCUACAGACUUCUUAAAUUUGGGAAGAUGAAUACCAUCCUAGUUUUACUGGAUAUGUUACAUUUGAGCUUAGUCUACAUGUGUUUAAAUGGAAGUUUGACAAUGGAAAUCAUCAAAGAAAACAGGAAAAACACUGAAGAUAAAUGAAAUUGAGCAUCUGCUUUACAGCACAGGAUAGAUCACAGAGUCUUUGAGGUUGGAAGGCACCUUUGAAGACUGCCCAAGUGGGGGCAGCUACAGCAGCACUCAAUCCACAUCCAAUCAGAUUUUGAGUAUCUCCAAGGAUGCAGAUUCCAGCACAUCUCCAGGUAGCCUGUGCAGUUCAUAGAAUGGUCAAUCCCACUGUCCAUGUCUCCAGCAAAGAUGCUGAAAAGUGCUGGUCCCAGUACUGACCCCUGAGGAACACAAAUCAUCACUGCUUUCCCCUUUGACAUCAAGACACUGACCACAACUCUCACUGGAUGUGACCAUCCAGCAGAUUCCUUCUCCACUGA
rnacentral:lncRNA from 1 species